GAAAUGCGAUAAGUAAUGUGAAUUGCAGAAUUCAGUGAAUCAUCGAAUCUUUGAACGCACAUUGCGCCCGCCAGUAUUCUGGCGGGCAUGCCUGUUCGAGCGUCAUUUCAACCAUCAAGCCCCCGGGCUUGUGUUGGGGACCUGCGGCUGCCGCAGGCCCCGAAAACCAGUGGCGGGCUCGCUGUCACACCGGGCGUAGUAGAUUUUUCGUCUCGCCCAGGGCGUGCUGCGGGUUCCGGCCGUUAAAAAGCCUCUCUUUUUAACCCAAGGUUGACCUCGGAGCAGGUAGGAAGACCCGCUGAACUUAAGC
rnacentral:misc_RNA from 1 species